UUCUAUUUAAACUCAUGAAAACUCCACCAAAAAUAAACAUUUUUUCUUGCCAAGCUUCUUCUUCUUGCUCAUUUAAAAUAUUGUUCGUCUUCUUUGUUACAACAUUGUUCAACGUAAGCAAUUUGCUUUCUACAGGUAAACAAUACAAUUAUUUAUUUAGAUUUAUUUUUUAUCAUAUGUUUAAAUUUUACAUCACAUCAUAGUUGCUAACGAUUUUGAUUUUUUUGUACAAAUCAUACAUAAUUUUCGUUCACAAUGACUCCCAAUAUGACAAACAUAUCCCUUCACAUAAUGUUCAUCUCUUUCAUUAUUUGUUUGACCAUGAUGUUUUAAUUUUCAUAAUCUAUUAUACCGUUUAUUUAUUUAUUUAUUUUCUAAACUCAUUAUAUUUUAUCGCUUCACAGGUCACCGUAUGUUAAUAAUUGUCUCUUUUCCUUAUCAUCGCGUGAAUUUUGUUUUCAGAAGAAUUGAGGGAUGAUGCCGAGACUCAUUGGCCUACAAUAUCACUUUAUAAUUUAUAAGUCCAAGACCAACAUGUUCCGUUGGAGUGAACUAUUUGGUUGAAGAUAGAAUAUCUCAAAGUUUUCAGCUUAGCAAUAUUCUUUCAAUAAUCAAACAAUAAUUAUUUCACAGAUUGAAAACAAGAAGUUGAAAGCUAAAAUAUUUUGUACAUAAUCUCUAAAAUUAUGUUGUUUUGACAUUCUUAUGUGAAGUGUUAAUUUGAUAUGGUUUGAACAAACUUUGUUGCUUGAGGGAUAUGCAUGUAUAGAACCCGAAAUGUAUGAAG
rnacentral:lncRNA from 1 species